rnacentral:rRNA from 1 species
GAUGAACGCUAGCGAUAGGCUUAACACAUGCAAGUCGAGGGGCAGCAUGGUCUUAGCUUGCUAAGGCUGAUGGCGACCGGCGCACGGGUGCGUAACGCGUAUGCAACUUGCCUCACAGAGGGGGAUAACCCGUCGAAAGACGGACUAAUACCGCGUACACUCUAUGUUGGGCAUCCAAUGUAGAGGAAAUGAACUUCGCUGUGAGAUAGGCAUGCGUCCCAUUAGCUAGUUGGUGAGGUAACGGCUCACCAAGGCGACGAUGGGUAGGGGAACUGAGAGGUUGAACCCCCACACUGGUACUGAGACACGGACCAGACUCCUACGGGAGGCAGCAGUGAGGAAUAUUGGUCAAUGGGCGAGAGCCUGAACCAGCCAAGUCGCGUGAAGGAUGACUGUCUUAUGGAUUGUAAACUUCUUUUAUACGGGAAUAACAAGAGUCACGUGUGGCUCCCUGCAUGUACCGUAUGAAUAAGCAUCGGCUAACUCCGUG